rnacentral:tRNA from 1 species
GGGCAUGUGGCGUCGCCCCCUUAGCAUGGGGGAGGUCUCCGGUUCGAUUCCGGACUCGUCCA